CGAGCGGAUCUUCAUUAGCUUGCUUUUGAAGAUCAGCGGCGGACGGGUGAGUAACACGUGGGCAACCUGCCUGUAAGACUGGGAUAACUUCGGGAAACCGGAGCUAAUACCGGAUAAUCCUUUCCCUCACAUGAGGGAAAGCUGAAAGACGGUUUCGGCUGUCACUUACAGAUGGGCCCGCGGCGCAUUAGCUAGUUGGUGAGGUAACGGCUCACCAAGGCAACGAUGCGUAGCCGACCUGAGAGGGUGAUCGGCCACACUGGGACUGAGACACGGCCCAGACUCCUACGGGAGGCAGCAGUAGGGAAUCUUCCGCAAUGGACGAAAGUCUGACGGAGCAACGCCGCGUGAACGAUGAAGGCUUUCGGGUCGUAAAGUUCUGUUGUUAGGGAAGAACAAGUACCGGAGUAACUGCCGGUACCUUGACGGUACCUAACCAGAAAGCCACGGCUAACUACGUGCCAGCAGCCGCGGUAAUACGUAGGUGGCAAGCGUUGUCCGGAAUUAUUGGGCGUAAAGCGCGCGCAGGCGGUUCCUUAAGUCUGAUGUGAAAGCCCCCGGCUCAACCGGGGAGGGUCAUUGGAAACUGGGGAACUUGAGUGCAGAAGAGGAGAGCGGAAUUCCACGUGUAGCGGUGAAAUGCGUAGAGAUGUGGAGGAACACCAGUGGCGAAGGCGGCUCUCUGGUCUGUAACUGACGCUGAGGCGCGAAAGCGUGGGGAGCGAACAGGAUUAGAUACCCUGGUAGUCCACGCCGUAAACGAUGAGUGC
rnacentral:rRNA from 2 species